rnacentral:rRNA from 2 species
UUUUGAUCCUGGCUCAGGACGAACGCUGGCGGCGUGCCUAAUACAUGCAAGUCGAGCGGACUGAUGGGGAGCUUGCUCCCCUGACGUCAGCGGCGGACGGGUGAGUAACACGUGGGCAACCUGCCUCACAGAUUGGGAUAACUCCGGGAAACCGGGGCUAAUACCGAAUAAUCAAAGGAACCGCAUGGUUCCCUUGUAAAAGUUGGGUUUUACCUAACACUGUGAGAUGGGCCCGCGGCGCAUUAGCUAGUUGGUGAGGUAGUGGCUCACCAAGGCGACGAUGCGUAGCCGACCUGAGAGGGUGAUCGGCCACACUGGGACUGAGACACGGCCCAGACUCCUACGGGAGGCAGCAGUAGGGAAUCAUCCGCAAUGGACGAAAGUCUGACGGUGCAACGCCGCGUGAGUGAUGACGGUCUUCGGAUUGUAAAGCUCUGUUGUUAGGGAAGAACAAGUGCCGUUCAAAUAGGGCGGCACCUUGACAGGUACCUAACCAGAAAGCCCCGGCUAA